UACGUAGGUGGCAAGCGUUGUCCGGAUUCACUGGGCUUAAAGGGCGCGUAGGCGGGCGGUCAAGUCGGGGGUGAAAUCUUUCAGCUUAACUGGAAAAGUGCCUCCGAUACUGAUCGCCUCGAGGGAGGUAGGGGCAUGUGGAACUUCCGGUGGAGCGGUGAAAUGCGUAGAUAUCGGAAGGAACGCCGGUGGCGAAAGCGACGUGCUGGACCUCCUCUGACGCUGAGGCGCGAAAGCUAGGGGAGCAAACGGG
rnacentral:rRNA from 1 species